UGAGUCCUAGGAAAAGAGAGCAGUGGUUAAUGUGUGUGCUUUGCCAAGGUACUAAGUUGAUGAGAAAUGUGCAAUUUGUCUAAAUACGGAGCAAAGCCUUCCAUAACUCAACACAUUAAAAGGACUUCUUUUCCCAAAUGUUCUGUUUCCUAAAUGAACUAGUUUUCUUGUAACAGGUUAAUCCUAUAAAUUACUCACUUAAGCGAACUAUCUGUUUCUACAAGAAGAUUCAUUAAGAUUAAUAAACUGUUAUUAAAGGUAAGCCUUACAAUUUCUUGGCUUGCCUUGCUUUUCCUUUUUUUCUGUGUAUGUUUUAAUUUCCUUCUAAAUUUGCCAAAUCUGAAUCAUUUGUGUAUUUCUGAGGAUGGCUUGAUCCUAGAAUGGGAUUAUUUUUCAAACUGAAGCCACAGAAGUUUGACCAUUAUUGAGACAAAAGCUAAGGAAUAAAAUAUGGCCCCUAGUAUGUCUAUAAAUAAUAAUAGUGCUUGAAAAGUCUUAUGCAUAAUGUAUUGUUAUAGAUGUACAUACCUACACAGCAAUAAAUGCUGUUGACCUUUCUUCCUUGUGCUUGAAGAAAGAACUCAGUAUGAGAACUGGAUAGACAGUGUUACCAUGAACAUGUCUUCUGAAACCCAGGUUAGAAUUUCUAGACAUUUGACUGUGUUCAAAAUCUAAGAAAAGUGGUUUGUGGAGGCAAUAAGAAAGAUGUGGGCUUUUCUCUUAGGAGUCUGCAAGCAGUAUAGUACUGUUUUCACAAAACUUAACUAUAAACAUAAGCAAACUAGGAGGAGAAAUGUUUUAAAAUAACUCAAUAUCUGUGUUUUGAUCUCACACAUAUAGGAGGCCCAAACUGCCAUUUUGGGUUUCACUAUUUCCCCCUUUAUAGCUCUCCACAAGAGAGUAUUGCUCCAAGACAUCCAACAACUUUUGAAAUAGGACAUUUAAUCCUUUGAAAACCUGAUGAGCCACUCCAGCAGAAGAACCCAGCCAAGUCUUCAAAUUAAAGGGCUUUAUGAAUCGUUUCUCAGUGAAAUUGCCAGAGGAUUAGAUCCAACUCUAACCACCUUAACUCUCCUUCCUGAGAAUUCUGCUUUUCAGUUUAAUGAAUUACAAAUAAAGAAAGCACUCUGCAGUGUUUUAUUAAGAAGCUUUUAGAAGCAGCUCAAAAUGUAUACAAUCAACAGAGCCCAAGGUGCAAGUGCAACAUCGAGGGUCAUAUUUGGGAGACUGAGAACAUCAAUACCAUUCUUUUCAAAGCUGGGAAUAAAACUGACCAUAUCUGAAUCUCUGGUGUUACAAAAAUCCCAUGAAACCUGCUGAUAAAACAGUAUCUCUGGAACUAAUGCUCAUCCACAAAAAAAGAAAUAUAAGACUGCUACUAUAAUACUUUAGGUUGUGGUUUCAUAGCACCUAUCUACUGUGGGUGCUCAUUGAUUCUUUACUGAUAAUGGAGAAAAGAAACUGUGUAGUUGUUUUCCCCCCAGAUUUCAUUUUCAGACACAGCAGGUGAGUCUACACCUCCACAGAAGCACAGCCAGUGGCAGCCUGGGUACUGUAGGACUACACUGUGAGGCUGCAGGCUCACACCCUUCUGACAACUCACACGAAAAUCAGGAUAAUGACAUCUAAUGAAAUUUCCUUUUUUUCUGAUUUUGUGGGUUGUUAAUCCUACAGUUUGAAAAUAUUAGCUGCAUUAACAUAACUAAAGAGCAGAAAUUAAGCUGGAAAGAUUAGGAAAUAUCAGAAUUACAGCUGAUUGAGUAAUGUUCCUCUUGACCCUAUCAGGUGCUUGUAGUAUGACUUAGUCUUUAAUUGCAUGAUCAAAUACUAUUUUCUGCAGUAACCCUACCUUAUUUAGCUAAUAGGUCAGCCCCGUUCCAAGGAUUGUCCAAGCUUAUGUAGUUACAGAUGUUGCUAGCUUACAUGUGGAACCACAGUUUCUCAUACCUUAGUUCUCCACAUCUAAAUUGGGUAUAAUAAUACCUUGCUGUCUCACUGAUGUGUUGUGAAAAUAACUUAAUUGGUGUUUGUGCAUCACUUGGCAACUACAGAAGGCUACAGGAAAGCCCAGGAGGAAAAUAAUAAUUUUGUAUCUAGGGAAGGCCUUGAAUCACAUGCAUUAUACAGGGUGUGGGCACAUUUUGGACAAUGGAUAAUAAACAAGAUGUGGAAAGAGAACAGAUCAGCAGUGGCAUCAGAUAUCACAAGUUGGCUGCAACUGAUCUUGGCAGGUAAGCAGAUCCUGGCUCAUGUACUUGAAGCAGAGGAGAGGAAGGAGCAGGAGCACAAGACGUAAACCAGUUCAGCCUGCACACUGAAAAGCAUAGACAUUUACUGGAGGGAGAAAAAAAUAACAUAUAUGACUAGGGAAGUAGAAACUGCAGUGUAGCAGAUACAUUAUUUUGCCAUUCUGUGGCUUUUGAGUGCUAGAGCUUAUAACCUAACUAGGGUUCUCUGAAGAUAUUUUUCUUUCUUUUGUAUAUACAUAGGUUCCAUCUACUCAGACAAACCUCUUAACUCUGCUCUAGAUUCCUCUUUGGCAGUCUUUAAACCGCCAUGAAACCUCAUUCCACAGAAACAAUCGAUAACUACUAGCCUUCAAGAUCUAUAUCAUAAUCUCAGCUAACGGAAACCUAGCUGGUCUUGCAGCAGUCCUUGGAGUUUCUUAACUAAGUCUUUAGUCAAUUAUGCAGGUGAGAUGACUGCUGAAAGAAAACCUCUGCAAAAGCUGAAAAGCCCUACAAAAGCUUAAGGUGUCUAACUGAAACCUCUUUGUGAUUGUAACUUGCCAGAUGGUUUCAGGUGAGUCUCACUCUAAGAAGUUCAGGAUUGUAGGAGACAAAACAAAUCCCUAAAAAUUCUCUUGUUUUUCAGAAAGCCAUGGGCAAAGCCAAAGGCCGUGUCAGAAAUACUAGCAUGAAAAUGCUAAUAAUAUGACAAUAUGACAAGAAGCGCCUCUUCUGUGGUGUCCAGAGUCUCGACCUGCGGCUGGAAUGAGGGAUGAAGACAAAUGGAGUGACUGAAGAAGAGGAAAGGAGUAAAUGGAAAAGAAGUGAGAAACUGCUUUGUGAAAAGUGAUGAAUCAAUGGUCUAAAAAGGCAUUUAAGCAGCCAUUAUUCAUGAUAAAAUACUAGACCUUAUAAGUGAUGAAUUGACAUGUUGCCAAACACUUUUUUUCAGGGACUGACAGAGAUGCUGAAAUGCUGAAUCCCCACAGCUUCUAGUGGCUUUGACUGGACUUCUGAGCCUUCAGUAUCUGAAAAUCAGUAAAAAAACCCCACAAAAACUCCUUGUUUCUUAAUUAACCCCAAAAUAACUUGAGAAGAGGAAAUUAGUUUCUGUAAAGCUGAAGAUUCACAAGGAAGUGAUACAUGUAGCUGACUCCAAGAAAGUGUGUUCAAAGUCAGACUAGGGAUGGGUAUCAUUUAUUAGCACUGCGGAAAAGAUAGUAAACCCACCAUGAGUGCAGAAUUACGAGUCUGUCAUGAACAGGAGGAGUUAGACAACUGUUGGAGAAGGAGUGACUGAGUGUUGCAAGAAGUCUUCAGAAUGCAGACUUGAUUGGAUACUAGGAAGAUGCAUAGUAUUGUGUGAAGACAAGAAAAAUGUAUGAAGAAAAGUAAGUUAAGUAUAAUAACAGGUAUCCAAGAAAGUUCAUAAAAUAUCACAACAAAUUACAAAAUAACCCCUAUUUGGGAUUAUUAAGGCUCAUCCAGAACAACAACAAAAAAAGUAAGAAAUGGUAGAAAGCUGUAAAUUUUUGUUUACAGAACUUAAGUUAGAGGGGAAGAAAGACAAUGAAUGAGAUUGUAUAAGUAAGAUGGAAAAAAAAAGUUAGCAAUAAAUGUAAAGUUAAGUAAAGGGUUGAAAGAAAAGGAGAAGAGCAGACCACUUGAAGAUGUUUAAUAAAGUGCUUUGGUAAAAGUACAAUAUUUGUAUAAAAUAUUCAAAUGGUAAUUUGAAUCAUGCCAAAUGGUGUGUGUGGUGUUUAGUCUUAAUUAACUUCAGGGUUUGAGUAGUAAUAGCACUUACAAGCAGAAUACCACUCUUUUGCUGGGAGUAUAUGCACAGCCUACUAUCUCCUUGCUAAAGAGCAGUUUUGAUCAGUGCCCUGUAAAUACUGUUCAAAUGAAUAACCUUGGGAAAUUGCAGAACCAACUUUUUUGACAAAUUACAGAUAUGCUACCAGAUGACCGGUAUACUUCAGUCUAUGCUGAUAAUGUGACAGUUCCUGUAAUGAUUUGUUUCAGAAAGCUUUUACUUCAUGAAAGAUACGUGACUCAUUCAGAUGAGAUCAAAUUGUAAAUUACUUAUUCACACUGAUAAAAAACCAAUGAGUCAAAGGCAGUGUUUCAGCGAGCAAAUGUUCACCAAUAAAAAAAGAAAGAUUCCACUUUCUAACCCCGACCUUCAAAUGCUGACUGUUCCUGUGCACACCACUGCAUAAAAAGUGUAUAAAGAAAAGAUCUCAAGGCUUGGAAAUCUAUUUCAAAUGUUUUUAGCAUUUGCAUUUUCUGAAAUUUCUCUCGGAGUACAUUUGUGUGUUCGGUUUCUUCUGUGAAGCAAUUUCUGAUAAAUGCACUAUUCCAAUUUCUAAAACAACAUUUUCGACUGCUGGUACCAUGGCUAUCAAUUGGAUAGGAAUAUGCUAUCUAAAUGCAGUUUCUGAAAAGUAUUACAUUGAAACGAAAGGAAAAUAUGUGUUCAGUUCUGCGUAGCUAUUUUAUUCUGAACUUUAUUAAAAUCUUUCUGCAUGGAACCCAUAAAUUAUGAUACAACACCUGAGGGACCUGUAGCUGGAAUGCUUCAUUUACCUUUGGAAGGACGAUCCAAAGCUGAGAAGGAGAGAAGUUCAACAACGGAUGGAUUUUUCAUCUUGAUUAUGUUAAUAAAAAAGCACACAAAUGUCACAGUGUUUCAUAGAAUAGGUGGCUGGUUAUUUAUCUCCACUAAGCAGCAGAUCAUUUAUCAUGUUGCAUAAAUUGUGUUUGUCUCUUUCUUUUUAAUAAAUAUGAGCUUCACAGAUCCA